GACGAACGCUGGCGGCGUGCUUAACACAUGCAAGUCGAACGAUGAAGCCCAGCUUGCUGGGUGGAUUAGUGGCGAACGGGUGAGUAACACGUGGGCAACCUGCCCCAAACUCUGGGAUAACUCCUCGAAAGAGGUGCUAAUACCGGAUACGAAAUGGACAGACAUCUGUACCAGUUGGAAAGUUUUUCGGUUUGGGAUGGGCCCGCGGCCUAUCAGCUUGUUGGUGAGGUCACGGCGCACCAAGGCUACGACGGGUAACCGGCCUGAGAGGGCGACCGGUCACACUGGGACUGAGACACGGCCCAGACUCCUACGGGAGGCAGCAGUGGGGAAUAUUGCGCAAUGGGCGAAAGCCUGACGCAGCGGCGCCGCGUGAGGGAUGAAGGUCUUCGGAUCGUAAACCUCUUUCAGUAGGGACGAAGCGAAAGUGACGGUACCUAAAGAAGAAGCACCGGCUAACUACGUGCCAGCAGCCGCCGUAA
rnacentral:rRNA from 1 species